AUGUUCGUGUGCAUCGGAUGCGGAGGGCCACACCAUCUCCGCGUCCCGGAGGAGUUCGCCGCCGGCCGCUUCUUCGGCUCCUACCCGCCUGGGUGGGUGUUCUUGGCCGGCGCGCAGGCCUCCAACCACGCGCUCAUCAAUCUCUACACCAGGACUCGUCUUCUCAUCCCCGACUUCCUCACCAUGACCGGAGAUGCUACGCGUCAGCCUCGACAGAUGGUGAUGGUGGCGGCGGCGCUCUCUGCCGAGCCUCUCGCUCCCGGCAAGGCCUGCUUCGGUGCCGCCAUCGUCCACGGGCUCGGCGGCGCGCCAGUGUUUGCUCUUUGGGCACUCGUCCGCGCAGCGCGCCACGAGCGACCGGUGGCGCACGGGUUCCACGUCACCGUCGGCGAGGGAGCCGGAGCCGGACAUCAGCAGCUGUUUCUCGAGGACGUCGCUUAUCACCGUGGCGCGUUCUACUUUCUGACGAGCCAGGAGCAGCUGGUGGCCGUGCACGUCGUGGAGGGCAGCGGGCGGCUGUUAGCUCGGCAGCAGCUGAUCGAGCACCGCCGGCCGGCCAAUCCGCAAGGUUUGCUGGUGUCCGGCAGGUAUCUACUCGCAUCCCGUGGGGGUUGGGCAAUGGUGGUGCGUUACCAUUGGCCCCCUCUUCCCGACGACCGUGAGCCAGGACCGGCGAGGCGGCUCACAAUGUACCGCGGCGACAUUCAUGACGGCGAGGCAUUUACCACAUGGACGGAGCUGCACCCCGAGUCCCUGCAAGGCCUCCUGGUGUUUGCAGCCAGGGGGUGCUCCAGGUUAAUUGAAGAUCCUUCUGGCCUCCACAAUCUCCCAGCGGGCGUUCAUUACCUGGAUGAUCGUGAUGCUGGAGACAUGGAUAUGAUCUACCAGGAAAAUCCGAACCUUCGAAAGUACCGGUGCAGCGACACGUGUGGGUUUGGAUGGCCGCCAGCUGCGAUCCAUUUCUACGCGACCUGGGUGAACUACCCACCGUCUUCCUAUUCUUCGCCAAUCUGGUUCUUUCCGUAG
rnacentral:rRNA from 1 species